UACGGAGGAUGCAAGCGUUAUCCGGAUUUAUUGGGUUUAAAGGGUGCGCAGGCGGAACGGUAAGUCAGGGGUGAAAUUUAGCUGCUUAACAGCAAAACUGCCUUUGAUACUGCCCUUCUAGAGUUUAAAUGACGUUGCCGGAAUGUGAUGUGUAGCGGUGAAAUGCAUAGAUAUGUCACAGAACGCCGAUCGUGAAGACAGGUAACGAAUUUAAUACAGACGCUCAUGCACGAAAGCGUGGGGAUCAAACAGGAUUAGAUACCCUGGUAGUCCACGCUGUAAACGAUGAUCACUCGUUGUUGGGUAGCAAUACUCAGUGGCCAAGCGAAAGCGAUAAGUGAUCCACCUGGGGAGUACGAUCGCAAGGUUGAAACUCAAAGGAAUUGACGGGGGCCCGCACAAGCGGAGGAGCAUGUGGUUUAAUUCGAUGAUACGCGAGGAACCUUACCCGGGCUUGAAUUGCAGCGGAAUAAAGUGGAAACAUUUUAGCCUUCGGGCCGCUGUGAAGGUGCUGCAUGGUUGUCGUCAGCUCGUGCCGUGAGGUGUUAGGUUAAGUCCUGCAACGAGCGCAACCCUUACACUUAGUUGCCAGCACGUCAUGGUGGGGACUCUAUGUGAACUGCCUACGCAAGUAGAGAGGAAGGUGGGGAUGACGUCAAAUCAGCACGGCCCUUAUGUUCGGGGCUACACACGUGCUACAAUGGUCGGUACAGAGGGCUGCUACCCCGCGAGGGGAUGCUAAUCUCCAAAGCCGAUCUCAGUUCGGAUCGGAGUCUGUAACUCGACUCCGUGAAGUUGGAUUCGCUAGUAAUCGCACAUCAGCCAUGGUGCGGUGAAUACGUUCCCGGGCCUU
rnacentral:rRNA from 1 species